UUGCUGCGCAGGACCCCUUGAAAAAAAAUGAGGACCCGUCUUUUUUAGGUCACAAGAUUGCGCCAACCCUUACAUGGUCCUUAAAAAAAAAACCUUCUGACACUGCAGUAGUGAAAAUGAAGCGCACGAUGGGCGGAAGCUAGGAAGACAAACAUAAAGAUGAAGUGCUUAAUUCAAGGUCACACAAUGUCGGGGAUGGACCUCCAGAUUUCCUUACUGACCUGCAUUAUCUUGUGGAUACCUGAGUGAAUUCCACACCACCCAUUUUAUAGAUGAAACCACUGAGACAUGGAGCAAUUGACUGAGUAGUCACUGCCCCACCCCUGCCUGGAGCCUCACACAUGACUCGCCUCCUCUCAGUGACCACAGGUGAGACGUGGUCUUGUAACACAGUGGUUAAGAAUGUGACUUUGGAGCCAGCCUGCUAGGGGCUGAAUUCUGACUCAGCCAUUUACUAACUGUGUGACCUUAGUCUGUCUAGUGACUGGUGUUGUCAUAAGAAGAGAGGGACACAGAGGGAAGAUGGCCACAUGAAGAUGGAGGCAGAGAUUGCAGUUAUGCUGCUGCAAACUAAGGAAUGGCUCUGGCCCUCCAAGGAUUGCUGAUAACCACCAGAAACUAGAAGAGACAAGGAAGGAUUCUUCCCUAGAGCCUUCAGAGGGAGCAUGGCCCUACUGACACCUGGAUUUCAAACUUGUAGCUUCCUAAACUGCAAGAGAAUAAAUUUCUGUUGUUUUAAGCCA
rnacentral:lncRNA from 1 species